GAUGAACGCUGGCGGCGUGCCUAAUACAUGCAAGUCGAGCGAACAGACGAGGAGCUUGCUCCUCUGACGUUAGCGGCGGACGGGUGAGUAACACGUGGAUAACCUACCUAUAAGACUGGGAUAACUUCGGGAAACCGGAGCUAAUACCGGAUAAUAUAUUGAACCGCAGGGUGCAAUAGUGAAAGACGGUUUUGCUGUCACUUAUAGAUGGAUCCGCGCCGCAUUAGCUAGUUGGUAAGGUAACGGCUUACCAAGGCGACGAUGCGUAGCCGACCCGAGAGGGUGAUCGGCCACACUGGAACUGAGACACGGUCCAGACUCCUACGGGAGGCAGCAGUAGGGAAUCUUGCGCAAUGGGCGCAAGCCUGAUGGAGCAAUGCCGCGUGAGUGAUGAAGGUCUUCGGAUUGUAAAGCUCUGUUAUUGGGGAAGAACAAAUGUGUGAUUAUCUACGCAUGUUUUGACGGUACCUAAAGAGAAAGCCCCGGCUAACUUCGUG
rnacentral:rRNA from 1 species